rnacentral:rRNA from 1 species
AUUGAACGCUGGCGGCAGGCUUAACACAUGCAAGUCGAGCGGGGUGAUGGUGCUUGCACUAUCACUUAGCGGCGGACGGGUGAGUAAUGCUUAGGAAUCUGCCUAUUAGUGGGGGACAACAUCUCGAAAGGGAUGCUAAUACCGCAUACGUCCUACGGGAGAAAGCAGGGGAUCACUUGUGACCUUGCGCUAAUAGAUGAGCCUAAGUCGGAUUAGCUAGUUGGUGGGGUAAAGGCCUACCAAGGCGACGAUCUGUAGCGGGUCUGAGAGGAUGAUCGGCCACACGGGGACUGAGACACGGCCCGGACUCCUACGGGAGGCAGCAGUGGGGAAUAUUGGACAAUGGGGGGAACCCUGAUCCAGCCGUGCCGCGUGUGUGAAGAAGGCCUUAUGGUUGUAAAGCACUUUAAGCGAGGAGGAGGCUCUUUUGGUUAAUACCCAAGAUGAGUGGACGUUACUCGCAGAAUAAGCACCGGCUAACUCUGUGCCAGCAGCCGCAGUAA